ACGGGAGGCAGCAGUGGGGAAUAUUGCACAAUGGGGGAAACCCUGAUGCAGCAACGCCGCGUGAGUGAAGAAGUAUUUCGGUAUGUAAAGCUCUAUCAGCAGGGAAGAUAAUGACGGUACCUGACUAAGAAGCUCCGGCUAAAUACGUGCCAGCAGCCGCGGUAAUACGUAUGGAGCAAGCGUUAUCCGGAUUUACUGGGUGUAAAGGGUGCGUAGGCGGCAGAGCAAGUCAGAUGUGAAAGACCGGGGCUCAACCCCGGGGCUGCAUUUGAAACUGUUUUGCUGGAGUCCGGGAGAGGCAGGCGGAAUUCCUAGUGUAGCGGUGAAAUGCGUAGAUAUUAGGAGGAACACCAGUGGCGAAGGCGGCCUGCUGGACCGGAACUGACGCUGAGGCACGAAAGCGUGGGGAGCAAACAGGAUUAGAUACCCUGGUA
rnacentral:rRNA from 1 species